GUCCACGCUGUAAACGAUGUUCACUAGGUGUAGGGGGUAUCGACCCCCUCUGUGCCGCAGCUAACGCGUUAAGUGAACCGCCUGGGGAGUACGGCCGCAAGGCUAAAACUCAAAGGAAUUGACGGGGGCCCGCACAAGCAGUGGAUCAUGUGGUUUAAUUCGACGAUACCCGAAAAACCUUACCACAACUUGAUAUCUGCCGAAUUCUCUAGAAGUAGAGAAGUGCCCGCAAGGGAGCGGCAAGACAGGUGGUGCAUGGCUGUCGU
rnacentral:rRNA from 1 species